AAAUGUCCGGGGCUGAAACACACUGCCGAAGCUCAGGAAUUAACUGAUGUUAAUUGGUAGAGGAGCAUUGUAUACGGGACGAAGCAGUACCGAUAAGGAGCUGUGGACUGUAUAGAAGAGAGAAUGCCGGAAUGAGUAGCGAGAGGAAGGUGAGAAUCCUUCCGGCCGAAUAUCUAAGGUUUCCAGAGUAAAGCUGAUCUGCUCUGGGUAAGUCGGGGCCUAAGGCCAGGUCGAAAGACGUAACCGAUGGACAACAGGUUGAAAUUCCUGUACCUUAAGUAAACAGAACUGUGGGGACACGUGUGGAGAGCACAAGCCGGAAAUGGAAAAGCCGGUGCAAGCGAGGUAGGAGUACAGUAGGCAAAUCCGCUGUACAAUCCGAAGACGUGAUGCGGACCGAAUUAAGAGUAGGGAAGUGUGUGAGCCAUGCGUCAAGAAAAGCCGCUAUUGUUUUACUUAAGCCCGUACCGUAAACCGACACAGGUGGAUGAGGAGAGAAUCCUAAGGCCGACGGGAGAAGCAUUGUUAAGGAACUCGGCAAAAUGACUCCGUAACUUCGGGAGAAGGAGUGCCAGCGAGAGCUGGCCGCAGAGAAUUGGCCCAAGCAACUGUUUAGCAAAAACACAGGUCUAUGCAAAACCGUAAGGUGAAGUAUAUGGGCUGACGCCUGCCCGUUCUGGAAGGUUAAGAGGAGAGGUUAGCGGCAACGCGAAGCUUUGAAUUUAAGCCCCAGUAAACGGCGGCCGUAACUAUAACGGUCCUAAGGUAGCGAAAUUCCUUGUCGGGUAAGUUCCGACCCGCACGAAAGGCGUAAUGAUUUGGGCACUGUCUCAACAAUGCACCCGGUGAAAUUGAAAUACCAGUGAAGAUGCUGGUUACCUGCGCCAGGACGGAAAGACCCCAUGGAGCUUUACUCCAGCUUGAUACUGGGAUUCGGUAUUGCAUGUACAGGAUAGGUGGGAGGCUAGGAAGUGAUAACGCCAGUUGUCACGGAGCCGCUGUUGGGAUACCACCCUUGCAGUAUUGGAUUUCUAACCAGCGACCAUGAACUGGUCGGGGGACAAUGUCAGGUGGGGAGUUUGACUGGGGCGGUCGCCUCCGAAAGGGUAUCGGAGGCGCUCAAAGGUUCCCUCAGAAUGGACGGAAACCAUUCGAAGAGUGCAAAGGCAGAAGGGAGCUUGACUGCGACACCGACGGGUGGAGCAGGUACGAAAGUAGGACUUAGUGAUCCGGUGGUAUAAAGUGGGAUUGCCAUCGCUCAACGGAUAAAAGCUACCCUGGGAUAACAGGCUUAUCACUCCCAAGAGUUCACAUCGACGGAGUGGUUUGGCACCUCGAUGUCGGCUCAUCGCAUCCUGGGGCUGAAGUAGGUCCCAAGGGUUGGGCUGUUCGCCCAUUAAAGCGGUACGCGAGCUGGGUUCAGAACGUCGUGAGACAGUUCGGUCCCUAUCCGGCGUGGGCGUAGGAUAUUUGAGAGGAGCUGUCCUUAGUACGAGAGGACCGGGAUGGACUGGCCGCUGGUGUAUCUGUUGCAUACCAAGUGCAUGGCAGAGUAGCCAAGCCGGGACGGGAUAAACGCUGAAGGCAUCUAAGCGUGAAGCCCCCCUCAAGAUGAGAUAUCCCUACGUAAGUAGUAAGACCCCUUGAAGACGACGAGGUAGAUAGGUCAGAGGUAGAAGUACAGUAAUGUAUGGAGCUGACUGAUACUAAUCGGUCGAGGGCAUGAUC
rnacentral:rRNA from 1 species